rnacentral:rRNA from 1 species
GUAAGGAAUAUUGCGCAAUGGAGGCAACUCUGACGCAGCCAUGCCGCGUGCAGGAAGAAGGCGCUACGCGUUGUAAACUGCUUUUAACCGGGAAGAAACCCCAGGACGUGUCCUGGGUUGACGGUACCGGAGGAAUAAGCACCGGCUAACUUCGUGCCAGCAGCCGCGGUAAUACGAAGGGUGCAAGCGUUAUCCGGAUUCAUUGGGUUUAAAGGGUGCGUAGGCGGAGCGUUAAGUCAGUGGUGAAAUCCUGCAGCUUAACUGUAGACUUGCCAUUGAUACUGGCGCUCUUGAGUGCGCUUGAAGUGGGCGGAAUGUGCCGUGUAGCGGUGAAAUGCUUAGAUAUGGCACAGAACACCAAUUGCGAAGGCAGCUCACUAAGGCGAUACUGACGCUGAGGCACGAAAGCGUGGGGAUCGAACAGGAUUAGAUACCCUUGUAGUCC